rnacentral:rRNA from 1 species
AACGGGUGAGUAACACGUAGGAACCUACCUCUUAGCAGGGGAUAACUAUUUAGGAAACAAUGCUAUACGUAUAAUAAUUAAAACCGCAUUGGUUUUAAGUUUAAAGAUGGUCUUGCUAUCACUAAGAGAUGGUCCCGCGGUGUAUUAGUUAGUUGGUGAGGUAAUGGCUCACCAAGACAAUGAUACAUAGCCGAGUUGAGAGACUGACCGGCCACAAUGGGACUGAGACACGGCCCAUACUCCUACGGGAGGCAGCAGUAGGGAAUCUUCCACAAUGGACGAAAGUCUGAUGGAGCAACGCCGCGUGUGUGAUGAAGGGUUUCGGCUCGUAAAACACUGUUGUAAGAGAAGAAUGACAUUGAGAGUAACUGUUCAAUGUGUGACGGUAUCUUACCAGAAAGGAACGGCUAAAUACGUG